CUCUGACCACUGGAGGAAAUGGGCACAGACACCAGCCACCGCCAUGGGAAGACCAAUGUGCAGCCUCACACAGGGAGGAAGCGAUGGCCCUGGUUUAAUUAUAGAUGCUUCAAUCUGGAUGAGUAUAGUGUUAUUAACAGGAACAUAGGGAACUUAUCAGUGACUACACCACUAAAGAAAAUGAACUCUCUCCCCCAAAGCCCUUUAACUGACUGGAGUCCCUCAAUGAGGGGUGGAACCUCAUGAACCUCCCACUGAUGAAGGUAACCAGGCCAGUCUUGGAGAUUUGCCUUGUCUGCUACUUUAAGUUGGCAAAGCUACCAGCCGUCAAAAGCAUCAGAGUUCUUGAGAAGGAUAAGAUUUUACCUGAGAUUGAAGAAUGAGAGACUUAGUAGCUGACUGCAUGGACAGCCACC